UACGUAGGGUGCAAGCGUUGUCCGGAAUUAUUGGGCGUAAAGAGCGUGUAGGCGGCCCGAUUAGUCCGCUGUGAAAGUCCAGGGCUCAACCCUGGAAUGCCGGUGGAUACUGUCGGGCUAGAGUCCGGAAGGGGCGAGCGGAAUUCCCGGUGUAGCGGUGAAAUGCGCAGAUAUCGGGAGGAACACCGGUGGCGAAGGCGGCUCACUGGGGCUUUUCUGACGCUGAGGAACGAAAGCCAGGGUAGCGAACGGG
rnacentral:rRNA from 1 species